AUUUGCAAAAAUUCUAGUUGAUAUCGUAAAUAAAAAUCGAUGUCCUUUGCUUCAUGGAAUUUCCAAGCAAACAAAAUAAUUCACGGAAAUAAUUAAAUACGAAAAGUUCAAAUAUACAUGACCGUAUUCGAAGUUCUAAGAAACUACGCGUAAAAUCGAGAGGAAUCAAAUUGUAGGUAAAACGAUUAGAAGCCGGUCAUUCAAUCUUCGUUCAAAGACGGAUCUAGGAUAUUGCGUAAUUCACAAAAUUUCUGGUUGACAUCGCAAAUAAAAGUCAAUGUCCUUCGUAGAACGUGCAGACAAAAUAAUACUUGAAGUAAUACGAGGGAAGAAAUGUACACGAGGAUCGAAAAUGUAAGAAAAAUAUGUGUAAAGUCGAGGGGAACCGGGUUGUAGAUAAAAUGAUUGGAAGUCAGUUGUCUAGCCUUUGUUGAAAAACGAAAGCCCGGGUAUUGCGUUACAGGCGGACGAAGCCGGAAUAUCGAGAGAUGGAGAAGGACGGAUCCGAAUGUGAUCCCAGAAGCGAGCUCAAAGUCGGGAAAUCGUAUUACCAAGGCUACGUGACUGGAAUGUUUAAUAGUUUUCCGUCUGUUCCGACUAAAUAUAACGCGGACACGUUGUAGGAGUUAAAUCGACGUCGAAGGUGCUGUCACGAAAAUUCUCGGGAAUGCAACCUGUUGGAUAAGAUACAAAGAGAAUUGUUCUUUCUAUUUUACUUUCAACCCACUUGCAUUAUACAUCGUUGACCAUAAAUAGAAUCAAACUGAAAAUAACAUUUCAUAGAUUAAUUCCUACGAUGCUCAAUGUUUUCAUACGAUUAAUAUAAUAAUAUAAAUAGCUUAUGAACUUUGCGAAUUAUUAAUGUCGUUUGAGUCGUAAGAUCCAAAAGAUUAAAACGUGUAAUAAAAAGGUGUGUCCAAUAUUUGAAGCAAUGAACUUUUAGGAAGAAUGACAAUUACAGAGGAGUAAGGUUUUUAAAAUUGUUCUACCUAUUUUCAUCAGUCAUUAGGAAUUUUUAGCGCAUAAUUUCUAAUAUUCUAAUACAUGAUUUUAGCAUUUCUUUAUCGAACUGUACAUGAUUUGCAAUUGUCUAAUAUCCUUGAAAUUGACAUUACUUCAACUUCAAAAUAUUUUUAAGUCAUGUAUUAAAAAUUAUGCAAGAAUAAUUCUGUCAUUGUUACAUCCACAUUUUUCCAUAGAUAAAAUCGAAGUUCUGUCAUUCGACAUAAGAACUUAAAUAAGAAGUGUUUUAUUAGUGUAAUAAUAACUAAUAAUUGUUAAAAUUUCCAUGCUUUGUCAUUGUUUUUAUGUAAGGGUUCAUAGAACCCUAAGGAAUCGUCUAGACCGCAAGAAUUUACUAGUGUGCAUAUGAGCUGAAAUUAUUAGAUGCCUCGUCCGAAUUCAAGCGAUCUUAAAUCUUUGAUAAGAGACGGCAAACCGGAAGUAAUAAAAGGACCCUCAAGACCAUUUUCGUGGUCUGAUCUAGUGCGUUCCGUAAUAAACCACGUAGAGGAUGACGAGGCUUGUAAAUAAUUCGGCACCCCAUCAGUAAUUAAUCGGAUAGAACUGUCCCGGUGACGUUGUACAGACAACUACCCUGCGGCGAUACGAAGACACAUAGCGAUAUCUCAAUAAAACGUUAUCUCGUUAAUCGUAACAUUCUAAAAUGACCGAGCCAUAAAACGUUGUUAAUCGUCCCGCAAACGUUCAUAGAAUCGUAAUGCUUUAAGUAGCGUCGCGUCGCAGAGGAGGAAUAGUUCGUUUUCGAACGUAAUUACAUAAAGGACAGUUCCAUUAGCGCGAUGUGGUUUUUAUAAAUUUCAAUUUGCUUGUUCAACUUCACGGUCCGUUUCCGAGCUCGUAAACCUGUCAAAUGUUACUUUUAUAACCGGCUUCGAUAAUUGCACUUACGCUUAAUUCGAUUGGCGAAACGGUAAGAAACAGGAUCGAGUAUGAUUAAAUUCGUGGGAAUCGAAGGAACUAUCGUGACGGAACUAUGUAAAUCUCGAGCGAACAUCUCGCCUGAAGAUCGAUCAAGAACCCGAAGAGAUAUCGGGCCCGUGAGGCUCUCAGAGGAAAUGAAUGUCAGUUCUUAAUCGAGUUUGUAUCUGAAAUACCGCUACUACGCGUUGAGAGUGGGAUGAUCGGAACAAAGCGGGUCACAAUUGAAGUGAAGGAUUAAAAAGGAGGAUUUAACUUUGACGCUCUUUGGCGGAAUGCUAACUAGAUUGCUGUUAGACUAGAAAAUGAAUUAUUUGUAAUGUCAAUUUAGAACAUGCAAUCUAAAUAGAAAUUCCUUUUAUACAUUAUAAAUUAAAUUCACCUUUCAUACAUUUUGGGCAUUCAAUGCAGUUUUGAUAGAUACAAGGGUUUUAUAAAUGCAUCAAAUCUAAUUAUAGGCAAUUGAUCGCUGAGUGGAUGAAAAUUGUAUUAAUUAAUCGGUUAAAUUGAAUACCAUUUUCUAGUU